UACGUAGGGGGCGAGCGUUGUCCGGAUUUAUUGGGCGUAAAGAGCGUGUAGGCGGCCAGGUAGGUCUGCUGUGAAAACUCGAGGCUCAACCUCGAGACGUCGGCGGAAACCAUCUGGCUAGAGUCCGGAAGAGGAGAGUGGAAUUCCUGGUGUAGCGGUGAAAUGCGCAGAUAUCAGGAAGAACACCCGUGGCGAAGGCGGCUCUCUGGGACGGUACUGACGCUGAGACGCGAAAAGCGUGGGGGAGCGAACAGGG
rnacentral:rRNA from 1 species